UUUUCUUUUAGUUUCCUAAAUUUUAGUAACAUAAUCGAUUUUAUAUUUAGAUUUAAAAAUAAGUUUGUUAAAACAUUAAAUGUCAGUGGCAUGACAUUGUAAAUAAGUUCCAACUUGAGGAAUUAUUUGCUAAAAUGGCUGCAAAAAUGUAUAUGUAGAUGUAUUUUAAUUUUAAUCUUUAAAUAGAACCAAAAUGUAUUAUUACGAGAAAAGGGUUUUCUUCUUUUACACAGAAACUGCAAUAUUCCCACGAUCUCAAAUUCAACCUCCACUUCUCAACAAUGGAACAAAAAGCUUUCAUAU
rnacentral:sRNA from 1 species